AGUUAAGUGAGAAAGCGUACAGGGCGGAUGCCUUGGCAAUCAGAGGCGAAGAAGGACGUGCUAAUCUGCGAAAAGCGUGGGUGAGUUGAUAAGAAGCGUUUAACCCACGAUGUCCGAAUGGGGAAACCCGAUAGGCGAAGAGCCUAUCAUUGCGAGGUGAAUAAAAUAGCCUCGUAAGGCGAACCGGGAGAACUGAAACAUCUAAGUACCCCGAGGAAAAGAAAUCAACCGAGAUUCUGUGAGUAGCGGCGAGCGAAAGCGGAGGAGCCAGUAAGUAAUAGCAGCAGAGAUAGAGGAAUUGUCUGGGAAGGCAAGCGACACAGGGUGAUAGCCCCGUACUUAAAAUCCAGGCUGUGGUACUAAGCUUACGAGAAGUAGGGCGGGACACGAGGAAUCUUGUCUGAAGAUGGGGGGACCAUCCUCCAAGGCUAAAUACUCCUGAUUGACCGAUAGUGAACCAGUACUGUGAAGGAAAGGCGAAAAGAACCCCGGUGAGGGGAGUGAAAUAGAACCUGAAACCCUGUACGUACAAGCAGUGGGAGCCCGCAAGGGUGACUGCGUACCUUUUGUAUAAUGGGUCAGCGACUUAUAUUUUGUAGCAAGGUUAACUGAAUAAGGGAGCCGAAGGGAAACCGAGUCUUAACUGGGCGUUUAGUUGCAAGGUAUAGACCCGAAACCCGGUGAUCUAGCCAUGGGCAGGUUGAAGGUUGGGUAACACUAACUGGAGGACCGAACCGACUAAUGUUGAAAAAUUAGCGGAUGACCUGUGGCUGGGGGUGAAAGGCCAAUCAAACCGGGAGAUAGCUGGUUCUCCCCGAAAUCUAUUUAGGUAGAGCCUUGUGUGAAUACCUUUGGGGGUAGAGCACUGUUUCGGCUAGGGGCCCAUCCCGGGUUACCAAACCGAUGCAAACUCCGAAUACCAAAGAGUAAUGCACAGGAGACACACGGCGGGUGCUAACGUCCGUCGUGGAGAGGGAAACAACCCAGACCGCCAGCUAAGGUCCCAAAAUCUAUAUUAAGUGGGAAACGAAGUGGGAAGGCUUAGACAGCUAGGAUGUUGGCUUAGAAGCAGCCACCAUUUAAAGAAAGCGUAAUAGCUCACUAGUCGAGUCGGCCUGCGCGGAAGAUGUAACGGGGCUAAAAUAUAGUACCGAAGCUGCGGCAUCAAUCGAAAGAUUGUUGGGUAGGGGAGCGUUGUGUAAGCGGAAGAAGGUGAUUUGAGAAGAUUGCUGGACGUAUCACAAGUGCGAAUGCUGACAUAAGUAACGAUAAAACGGGUGAAAAACCCGUUCGCCGGAAGACCAAGGGUUCCUGUCCAACGUUAAUCGGGGCAGGGUGAGUCGGCCCCUAAGGCGAGGCUGAAAAGCGUAGUCGAUGGGAAACGGGUUAAUAUUCCCGUACUUGGUAAAGCUGCGAUGUGGGGACGGAGAAGGUUAGGUUAUCGACCUGUUGGAGAUGGUCGUUUAAGUUGGUAGGUGGGUGAGUUAGGCAAAUCCGGCUCACCGUUAACACUGAGAGAUGAUGACGAGGCACUAAGGUGCUGAAGUAACUGAUACCACACUUCCAGGAAAAGCCACUAAGCUUCAGGCUUUACUAAACCGUACUGAAAACCGACACAGGUGGUCAGGUAGAGAAUACUCAGGCGCUUGAGAGAACUCGGGUGAAGGAACUAGGCAAAAUAGCACCGUAACUUCGGGAGAAGGUGCGCCGGCGUAGAUUGUAGUGACUUGCUCACGAAGGUUGAACCGGUCGAAGAUACCAGCUGGCUGCAACUGUUUAUUAAAAACACAGCACUCUGCAAACACGAAAGUGGACGUAUAGGGUGUGAUGCCUGCCCGGUGCUGGAAGGUUAAUUGAUGGUGUAAUCGAAAGAGAAGCUCCUGAUCGAAGCCCCAGUAAACGGCGGCCGUAACUAUAACGGUCCUAAGGUAGCGAAAUUCCUUGUCGGGUAAGUUCCGACCUGCACGAAUGGCAUAAUGAUGGCCAGGCUGUCUCCACCCGAGACUCAGUGAAAUUGAAAUCGCCGUGAAGAUGCGGUGUACCCGCGGCUAGACGGAAAGACCCCGUGAACCUUUACUAUAGCUUGACACUGAACCUUGAAUUUUGAUGUGUAGGAUAGGUGGGAGACUAUGAAGCGGUAACGCCAGUUAUCGUGGAGUCGUUGUUGAAAUACCACCCUUUAACGUUUGAUGUUCUAACGAAGUGCCUGAAACGGGUACUCGGACAGUGUCUGGUGGGUAGUUUGACUGGGGCGGUCUCCUCCCAAAGUGUAACGGAGGAGCACGAAGGUUUGCUAAUGACGGUCGGACAUCGUCAGGUUAGUGCAAUGGUAUAAGCAAGCUUAACUGCGAGACAGACAAGUCGAGCAGGUGCGAAAGCAGGUCAUAGUGAUCCGGUGGUUCUGAAUGGGAAGUACCAUCGCUCAACGGAUAAAAGGUACUCCGGGGAUAACAGGCUGAUACCGCCCAAGAGUUCAUAUCGACGGCGGUGUUUGGCACCUCGAUGUCGGCUCAUCACAUCCUGGGGCUGAAGUAGGUCCCAAGGGUAUGGCUGUUCGCCAUUUAAAGUGGUACGCGAGCUGGGUUUAGAACGUCGUGAGACAGUUCGGUCCCUAUCUGCCGUGGGCGUUGGAGAAUUGAGAGGGGCUGCUCCUAGUACGAGAGGACCGGAGUGGACGCAUCACUGGUGUACCAGUUGUCUCGCCAGAGGCACAGCUGGGUAGCUAAAUGCGGAAGAGAUAAGUGCUGAAAGCAUCUAAGCACGAAACUUGCCUCAAGAUGAGUUCUCCCAGUCUAUAAGACUGUAAGGGUUGUUUGAGACUAAGACGUAGAUAGGCUGGGUGUGUAAGCGGUGUGAGCCGUUGAGCUAACCAGUACUAAUUGCCCGAGAGGCUUAACUAU
rnacentral:rRNA from 1 species